rnacentral:rRNA from 1 species
AUGGUGAAGCACAACAACGUCAUCCCCAACGGCCACUUCAAGAAGCACUGGCAGAACUAUGUCAAGACGUGGUUCAACCAGCCCGCCCGCAAGCAGAGGCGCCGCAUCGCUCGCCAGAAGAAGGCUGUGAAGAUCUUCCCCCGUCCUACCUCUGGACCUCUUCGCCCCAUUGUGCAAUGCCAGACCCGCAAGUACAACAUGAAGGCCAGGGCUGGCAGGGGAUUUACCCUUGAGGAGCUUAAGUCCGCUGGCAUCCCAAAGAAGCUCGCUCCGACCAUUGGCAUUUCUGUGGACCACCGCCGCAAGAACAGGUCGCUUGAGGGUAUGCAGUCCAACAUCCAGAGGCUCAAGACCUACAAGGCCAAGCUUGUCAUCUUCCCAAGGCGUGCUCGCAAGGUCAAGGCUGGUGACUCUACUCCGGAGGAGCUUGCCAAUGCCACACAGGUCCAGGGCGACUACAUGCCCAUUGCCCGUGGCGAGAAGCGCUCAGUCGAGGUCAUGAAGGUCACAGAGGAGAUGAAGGAGUUCAAGGCCUAUGGCAAGCUCCGCGUCGAGAGGAUGAACCAGCGCCAGUUGGGAGCCAGGCAGAAGAAGGCUGCCGAGGCGGAGAAGGAGGAGAAGAAGUGA